UACAGAGGUCUCAAGCGUUGUUCGGAUUCAUUGGGCGUAAAGGGCGCGCAGGUGGCGGUGUUGGCCCGGCGUGAAAGCCCCCGGCUCAACCGGGGAGGGUCGUCGGGGACCGCACCGCUUGAGGGCGGUAGGGGCUGGUGGAAUGCCUGGUGUAGUGGUGAAAUGCGUAGAGAUCAGGCGGAACACCCGUAGCGAAGGCGGCCAGCUGGGCCGUCCCUGACACUGAGGCGCGAAGGCGUGGGGAGCGAACGGG
rnacentral:rRNA from 1 species